ACCUCAUAAUUUAGAAAUAUAGAUAUUAUUUUCACAAAAAUGACAUAGAAUGAAUAUUUCUGAAACUCGUGGAAUAUUUGUGUCAGGGUUGUGGGCAAUUUUUUAUAUUAUUUUUUUUUUAACAUUUUUCUCUAUUCAGAAAUUUUUGUCCCUUAUUUUGUUUUUAGCAGCUCAUUAUUGUAGAUUUAUUAUAUUUUCACCUUGUUAGUAUUUUUGUCUUUUGUCUUUUGUCUUUUCUUUAUUCUUUUGCGUUAUAUAUGUUUUUCUGUAUUCUUUAUUUCCCCCAUCAUUAUCUUCUAUUUUGUUAACUUCAUCCACACACAGGUAUAAUUGAUGCAAUCUGUUUAAACUAAGUUUUUGGAACAUAAGAAAUUGAUUUGAUACAUAUCUAUAUAUUGGUGCUGGACUUCAAAGAAAGCUAUUCCACUGUAGACAUUUUU
rnacentral:lncRNA from 1 species